UGACGACAAGAACCAUCGUAUUAAAGUUCAAUUUAACUAAUCGUGUUUUUACGAAGAAACAGGUGUACUCAUAGCCGUUCCUAAAUGAACGCUUUAUUUUGUGAAGUCGAAAGAGAUGUUUUAGUAAAGCUUAACAAACUGACCAUGUUAUGGACAGUGAAACUGAUCAAGAGAAUACUGGACAUACCAGUUCAGUGAUACCUGAUGAUCAGAUGCCAUUCAUCCUGUGACAGUUCUCUCAAACCAGGUUGAUAGCAAGGUUGAUAGCCAAAUAGUCUAAGAGAACCAUGCCAGUUCAGUGAUCUCUGCUGCUGUUCUCUCAAACCAAGUUGAUAGUCAAAUAGAAGAAGAG
rnacentral:lncRNA from 1 species